UAAUACAGAGGGAGCAAGCGUUGUUCGGAUUUACUGGGCGUAAAGGGCGCGCAGGCGGGUCGAUCAGUCGGACGUGAAAACUACCGGCUCAACCGGUAGACUGCGUUCGAAACUGUCGACCUUGAGUACAGGAGAGGAGAGCGGAAUCGACAGUGUAGCGGUGAAAUGCGUAGAUAUUGUCGAGAACACCGGUGGCGAAGGCGGCUCUCUGGCCUGAUACUGACGCUGAGGCGCGAAAGCUAGGGGAGCAAACAGGAUUAGAUACCCUGGUAGUCCUAGCCGUAAACGAUGGGCACUAGGUGUUGGAGGUAUUGACCCCUUCAGUGCCGUAGCUAACGCAUUAAGUGCCCCGCCUGGGGAGUACGGUCGCAAGGCUG
rnacentral:rRNA from 1 species